UGCUCUUCGAAUUGCAUCUUGAUCAUUAACAGGAUAACUUAGAAUGGGAUGUCUUUCACCUGGAUCGUGUGGAAGGCUGUUGAUGUCAUAAACUGGUGGCAAUGAAGACGGUUGUGGCGGUGGCGGUGGCAUAGGAUUUACAAUUUCCUCAAUUAGUCUCUCAUGAGUCUCCUCUUUCACCACAAGUUCAACCGGAUCAGGGAAAUGAUUAGAAGUAGCAGCAUCCACCGCUGCCUUCUUCUUUGCUGCAUGAUUUUGAAAAAGAGAUGCAAUGUCCCCGUUUCUCUUCAUAACUGCAUAAAUAUUACAAAAUAGAAUGCUAAAUAAUU
rnacentral:lncRNA from 1 species